UACGUAGGUGGCAAGCGUUGUCCGGAUUUAUUGGGCGUAAAGGGAGCGCAGGCGGUGACUUAAGUCUGAUGUGAAAGCCCACGGCUCAACCGUGGAAGGUCAUUGGAAACUGGUCGACUUGAGUGCAGAAGAGGGAAGUGGAAUUCCAUGUGUAGCGGUGAAAUGCGUAGAGAUAUUGAGGAACACCAGUGGCGAAGGCGGCUUCCUGGUCUGUAACUGACACUGAGGCGCGAAAGCGUGGGGAGGCAAACAGGAUUAGAUA
rnacentral:rRNA from 1 species